CUCCCAGCUGUGCACCAAGGAGGACGGGUUCAGCGUGUCCAUCCAGCCGGCGGUGGGCGAGCUGCUGAUGCCGAGCAGCUUGAGCGAGCAGGACUUCAGCCGGGAGCAAGGUAAGCUCCUGGGCAUGAACGAGACCUCGGCAACCGUCGCCAUGGCAACAGCAAACGCCUCCAGCCAGGCCGUCAAGCAGCGCGUCCUGUCGGUGGCCAACGUGGGAGAGGUUCCCUCCGGGCAGGACGUCGCCCACAGGUGAAUGUUCUCUCUGUGCUGUUUUAUGAGCGCGAAUAAACAAUAACAUGAUUCAUUCAUUUUAAAUCUUAGAUCAUAUUUAUUUAUUGCUUAUUUUCUCCACCGUACAAUUUGAUUCGAUCAUUUUAUGUUUGUCAACUGAAGUCGCUGUGAGUCCCGUUGUUGACUAACUGAAAAAGUCUCUGACCAUUUCACACACAAACGACCAAUCAGAUGAACUGACAUCGGGUGGUAAUCCUCGUUUCUUUCUAAGCGUGGGUAACGUGGCCGUGCAGCGCGUCGUCGUGCAGCGCGUCGUCGUGCAGCGCGCCGUCGUGCAGCGCGUCGUCGUGCAGCGCGUCGCCGUGCAGCGCGCCGUCGUGCAGCGCGCCGUCGUGCAGCGCGCCGUCGUGCAGCGCGUCGUCGUGCAGCGCGUCGUCGUGCAGCGCGUCGCCUUGCAGCGCGCCGUCGUGCAGCGCGCUGUGUAGCAGGUGUGUACUUUUAGGAAGGGGCCUGGUGCACACAUGCCAGGGGAAUGCCCCGAGACGCCUGGCUGUGUAAUUGGUGUACACAGAGUGUGCUAAUGAGCUUCCUCGUCUGUCACGCACACCCGAACACCUGAUAGAUAAUUACACCUCCCUCUGUCCCUCUGUUUCCUGCUCCCCCCCCCCCAAACCCCCCAAGCCCCCCCGCUGCUGUCUCUCUUUCGCUUCCUCUUUGUCUCUCACGCCGUCCUCGUCCCUCUCUCUCUCCUCCGUCCGGUCGUCCUUUUGAGUGAUCUCGUGUUUUAUUCUAGAAUAGAGGAAACGUGCAGGAAUAAGGAAAGGACGGGGAGGAAGCAGGAGAGGAGGGGUGAGGAGGCGGCACAAGGACACGGCGAGCCGGAGCCGGUGAGGGGAAAUCGAUGUCCAAUAAACCCGCGUGCUUCAUUCACAAUAACCGAUAGCUCAAAGCGCGCCAUCAAUCUCCCGCCGUGACGUCCCCCCUGGUCCUCUGGUAAUGAAGACACUGUCCUCCGUGUUGACGACGGGUUCCUGCCGGCCGUCCCCGCAAGCUCCGUUUAUUAGAGACGAUGGGAAAAGAAGCCGCGCUGAGACGUAGCAGGUCUGACAGCCUCGUCUCUCAGGUGCCGUCGCUGGAGCUCUGAAUCUGACGCAGAUGUUCAAAUGAUGACCUCGUUGUUCAGGGAGGAGCUGGUGCCGUUAUUGGAUUAGACAAUAAAGUUAAUCCGAGCCAAUUCAGCUCAUCUAUAAAGCAUUUAGGACAUUUUUAAAACGUUUCAGCUUC